UCUCCAGUGAGCAAGAAAAGGAUGUUUGGAGCAGUCAGAAAGGUCUGAAAUGACCAAAGGAAGAAACAAUUCAAUUUUGGGAGUGAUCCGGAUCACCGUCUGGAUCCCGGAGGCGCUUGGCAUAGGGAAGGUCAGACAUGACCCAAGGAAGAAACGAUUAAAUGGAAGUGAACCGUAACACCGUCAGGAUUCCGGAGCCGUUUAUGUGUUUCGCUUAGUGGUGUAAUGGCAUGGUAUGGCCGUGGUGGCGAUCUGAAUAGUUUAGGUUAAAAUGGAAGAACAAUACAGGCGGAGGUCUGCGCUCUGCUUUUCUAGUUGUUAUUGUCGCAUGCAUUUUGGACAAAUGUGUCUGAUAAGAGUUAUGACCAUAAUAACAAUACAUUACAUUUGAACAAAUUGUUAUAUUAUGUCAUUUGUCAUUCAUUUGACUCAGAUGGAAUAGACACAUUUGGACACAUCUUCAUGUGAAGUUUGAUGUGUCCGUUCUUUGUUCUGUUUUCUUUUUUCUUUUUGCAAUGAAACAUGUUCCAGGUUUUUUCCUUGUGAAAUAUUGUUUGGACAAACUUAUGCUUUUUGUUUAGUACACACGGAUAACUUUAUGUUGUCUCUGGCAAUGCUAGAGUGAGCAUUGUCUGUUUCGCACAGUAACUGAAUUCCUGUUUAAAUCAGAGACACACCUACAGUAAUGUAAUGAACAGUCUGUAUUGAGAAUUUUGUGCAAAGAAAAAAGGAACAACAAAAAAAGAAUU